GCCUGCAUCCUGCUCCUCAUCGCCCUGGUGAUCACCACCGUGCUGUGUCAACAAACCAGAAGACGAAGAUGCAGGUGUAAGAGACCCGCAAACAGGAAUCCCCCCACGAAACCCAGGACACCAAACUAACACAGAGCAGCAUCUGCUCCUCCUGGCUGCUGGAUCUUCUCUGGGAGCUGCCAGCACAGAAUCCAUCU